AGGCCACCAACAAGGCUUUACAGUCUGGUGGCACGUCAAAGAAAAAGGACGUGAAUUCUGUGAUGGCUGCACAAUCCUUAUGCAAAAUGCAGAUGGUUACAAGUCUUAUUCUCGAAAGGUAGAUAAGUAGCUUUAUGCAGGAUAGAGGUAGAGCUUAACCUCAGAAGGCAGAUAAAUAGCCUUAUGAAAAAUGUAGAUGUAGACAGGGCUUAGUUUCGAAAGGCAGAUGAUAGCCUUAUGUAAAAAAUGCAAGAAUGUAAAGGGUGAAUAGUAGUGAGAUUUUCUUAGCUGGUAGCUAAUUGCGACAUUGUGGCUGCUGGGGAUAUUGGGUGCAAACAACGAG
rnacentral:lncRNA from 1 species